CAGUCGCCGCGGGAAGACAGAGGAUGCAAGCGUUAUCCGGAAUUAUUGGGCGUAAAGAGCUCGUAGGCGGUUUGUCGCGUCUGCCGUGAAAGUCCGGGGCUCAACCCCGGAUCUGCGGUGGGUACGGGCAGACUAGAGUGAUGUAGGGGAGACUGGAAUUCCUGGUGUAGCGGUGAAAUGCGCAGAUAUCAGGAGGAACACCGAUGGCGAAGGCAGGUCUCUGGGCAUUAACUGACGCUGAGGAGCGAAAGCAUGGGGAGCGAACAGGAUUAGAUACCCCCGUAGUCCCUGUCUCUUAUAC
rnacentral:rRNA from 1 species